rnacentral:rRNA from 1 species
GGGGCUCAACCCCGGACUUGCAGUGGGUACGGGCAGACUAGAGUGUGGUAGGGGAGACUGGAAUUCCUGGUGUAGCGGUGAAAUGCGCAGAUAUCAGGAGGAACACCGAUGGCGAAGGCAGGUCUCUGGGCCACUACUGACGCUGAGAAGCGAAAGCAUGGGGAGCGAACAGGAUUAGAUACCCUGGUAGUCCAUGCCGUAAACGUUGGGAACUAGGUGUGGGUCUCAUUCCACGAGAUCCGUGCCGCAGCUAACGCAUUAAGUUCCCCGCCUGGGGAGUACGGCCGCAAGGCUAAAACUCAAAGGAAUUGACGGGGGCCCGCACAAGCGGCGGAGCAUGUGGAUUAAUUCGAUGCAACGCGAAGAACCUUACCAAGGCUUGACAUAUACCGGAAACAUCCAGAGAUGGGUGCCCCGCAAGGUCGGUAUACAGGUGGUGCAUGGUUGUCGUCAGCUCGUGUCGUGAGAUGUUGGGUUAAGUCCCGCAACGAGCGCAACCCUCGUUCUAUGUUGCCAGCACGUAAUGGUGGGGACUCAUAGGAGACUGCCGGGGUCAACUCGGAGGAAGGUGGGGAUGAGGUCAAAUCAUCAUGCCCCUUAUGUCUUGGGCUUCACACAUGCUACAAUGGCCGGUACAAAGGGCUGCGAAACCGCAAGGUGGAGCGAAUCCCAAAAAACCGGUCUCAGUUCGGAUUGGGGUCUGCAACUCGACCCCAUGAAGUUGGAGUCGCUAGUAAUCGCAGAUCAGCAACGCUGCGGUGAAUACGUUCCCGGGCCUUGUACACACCGCCCGUCAAGUCACGAAAGUCGGUAACACCCGAAGCC